AAUAAUUAUUCAAUUUUAGUUAUGGACAAUUUAAAAUAUAAUUUUAGUUAUAGAGAAGUCAUUGUUUUUUGUUUCAAAAACAGCUGGAAAAGAAGACUUCUGUUAUAAAAGAAAAUAAUGGAAACUGUUUCCUUAAAUUUAGUUAAAUUUUUGAAAAACGGCAUUUGGAAAACUGGUUCAUGUGAACACAAAACUCUCUUUUUUAGUUUUCUUAAGAAACUUUUCAAGAAAAUUACCCCAGAUUUCUACAGGUGAAUAGAUCCCUAAACUUCCUAAUAGAAAUUUACUAGAAAAAUCUGAAUUAAUGAUCUUAAUUUCACAAUUAAAAUU
rnacentral:misc_RNA from 1 species